ensembl:lncRNA
UUUUAGUUGAUUCUCUAGGAUUUUUUAAGUAGACCAUCAUAUCAUCCACAAAGAGUGAUAGCUUGGUAUUCCUCGUUGCCAAUUUUAAUACCUUCAAUUUCUUUUCCUUUUCUAAUUGCUACUGCUAAUGUUUCUAGUACAAUGUUGAAUAAUAGAGGUAAUAAUGGGCAUCCUUGUUUGACUCCUGAUCUUAUUGGGAAGGCUUCCGAGUUUAUCCCCAUUGCAUUGCUGAUGUUUUUAGAUAAAUACUGUUUGUUAUUUUUAGGAAAGACCCUUCUAUUCUUAUACUUUCUAGUGUUUUCAAUAGGAAUGAAUGUUUAUUUUGUCAAAGUUUUUUUCUGCAUCUAUUGAGAUAAUCAUGUGAUUUCUUUCAGUUUGGUUGUUAUGGUCUGCUGAUUAACUAGAUUAGGCUGGUGGAGAAUUAAUGAGCCCUGAGGUCAGAUCUUCCCCAGCUAGUCACAGAAGCUGAAGGUGUAGGUGAAGGUGUGGAGGCUAAAGGGAGCUAUGCUUCCCACCCGGUUAUCAAGAGAAGAUUUUGUGUGAUGAUCCCAUAAAGUGUUCUGAACCUGAAGCCUACUUUGUACAGCUAGAAAGGAUGUCAGAGGUCAUCUAGUUCAACACCUAAUUUUAUAAAAGAGAAAACUGAAGCCCACUGAAGAAAAACUUUGUAAUGAAAAAGAAGGAUCAAAAAUGGCCAACAUGGAGUUAAGACCUAAGGGGCUGACUCUCCUCCUUGUGACCUGUCUGCCAAUGGGAGAAGCAGUCAUGGGACAUCCUUCAGAUCUCCAGGCAGGUCCCCACCUACCUAGGACCCAGGCAUUCACCGAGGACACGCCCCUAAAGACCAUGUGUCUGCAGCCUUUCCCUCCCUCUUCAAGUUUUGGCUACUCCUCUAUGGGAUAUAUAUUUGUAUACAUUUCUAACCUUGUCACUUCUCUAGUUACUUCUAGUGUAGAAGCACUCAUGGGAGUCACCCAGAUGCCACUGUAAACUUGGUAACUAUUCUAGCCUGAAGUCCUGGACAUUGCCUAUAGUCAAUACCUCUCUCCUAGGGACAGCUCUACAACAAUUCUCAGCUCUGAAGAAGCUACAGAAGACUGAGACCAUCACCCCUUUUCCCUUAGAUAUUUGAAGGGGGGAAGUGUCAUAGGCACUGUAUACCCAGAAACUCAGGCAGACUAUUGUCAGGGAAAUUCCUUUGCUCCCUUACAUCCUCGUGAUGCUGAUCAUACAAGGCUAGUUAAUCACUGAGUAGGCUUUGUCAAGGAUCGCAUUAAUUCAGUCCAGCUCAUGGUCCUUAGACUGCAUUAUCAACCCCUUGCAACUUGCCCAGCCCCUUAUGAUGAGGCCAUCUCCAUGGAUGAUUCAUCAUGUUUCAUGAAAAGAAGUGGGGAAUGAAGGAGGUUAAAUGACCGCCCCCUGGGGCAUCAGGGGUAAACUCUUGCCCAAGUCAGUAUAACCAUUCCAGCAGCUAAGCAGACACUCCCUGUAAGGUAAACAUCUCAAUCCAAAAUAUUCUGUUAUUCACAUUUCAUUCAAGCCUCCCAUGCUAUAUAAAGUAUGCCCCUAGCUGAGCCGGGUGUGGCUCCUCUUUUGGGGCAACCCUAGCAUGCUGGUAAUAAAGGUGAUCCAUUGCCUAC